rnacentral:misc_RNA from 1 species
CGGGAAAUGAGGCAGUAGGCGAAGCGGGGGAGGGCAAGCUGGGAGGGAAGAGAGGCCGGGCCGCGGCCGAAGCCGGCGAGUCCACCUGCGGGCUGGCGGUCGGAGUAGACUGAGCAGCCGACGGCGAAUCCGUUGAUAGAGAUUUUAGCUAAAACGAGUGUCUCGCUCAUAAGCAGACCAGCUGUAGAGCCGGAGCCGUACAGGACUACGUAGGGAGGGCAAAUUUGUGUGCAGUUGGAGCUGGUGCAGUCUGGGCGGCAGGAGUUGGUGGGGUGAAUGAAGAGGCAUUUCGGGUUUCGACAGCCAACGAGACGGGCGGAGGACGAGGAUCUGGGGAGGAAGGAGGCGAGGCGGGGGACGGGG